GACGAACGCUGGCGGCGUGCUUAACACAUGCAAGUCGAACGGAAAGACCCUGCUUUUGUGGGGUUCUCGAGUGGCGAACGGGUGAGUAACACGUGAGUAACCUGCCCUUGACUUUGGGAUAACUUCAGGAAACUGGGGCUAAUACCGGAUAGGAGCUCCUGCUGCAUGGUGGGGGUUGGAAAGUUUCGGCGGUUGGGGAUGGACUCGCGGCUUAUCAGCUUGUUGGUGGGGUAGUGGCUUACCAAGGCUUUGACGGGUAGCCGGCCUGAGAGGGUGACCGGCCACAUUGGGACUGAGAUACGGCCCAGACUCCUACGGGAGGCAGCAGUGGGGAAUAUUGCACAAUGGGCGGAAGCCUGAUGCAGAAACGCCGCGUGCGGGAUGACGGCCUUCGGGUUGUAAACCGCUUUCGCCUGUGACGAAGCGUGAGUGACGGUAAUGGGUAAAGAAGCACCGGCUAACUACGUG
rnacentral:rRNA from 1 species